ensembl:lncRNA LINC01206 long intergenic non-protein coding RNA 1206
CUUGGCAGUUGAGAUUCAGACCUUGACAGUUGUAACCGAUAGACUGGGCUGGGGCAACGCUGAUGAAAGGCAAAUUCCUGAGAGAAAAAUCACCCAGAUUUUUCAGUGCCUUCUCUAGCUUUCUAGAAGUUGUUAUGAGUGGACCUGACUACCUAGAGAGAGUAAUACAGAAGCUCCGUGCCGAUCACAGCUACCUCAUUACCAUGUUCCUCCAAGAUGGCCGCCCCUGAGGAGAAUCAUCAACUGGGCUUUACGGAAGAGAGAAAUCCAAACGACCAUCAGCAACAAAUGAAAGACUGAAGUUGAAAGUUUCAAGAUUGUCAAGAAUGACGAGUUGGACUUGGUCUAGUUACUUCCACAGCAGCAGGAGGAACAUGUGUGUGACUCAGGAUAACUGGGGAAGCCUUGGCUAGGCUUUCCUCAUGUCAACCUACCACUCAAAGGGAGAAAACCUCCUGAUCAGAGGAAAUCCAUAAUUUUUGAAUGCUGGCCGAGGUCUGUGACCUCUGACUGAAUGGUUUCCAAGCUCCGAAUUCCUAGGUGAUGUUUUCAUUUGUUCACACUUGCUGAAGAAGGGAAAGGCUCUCUGAUUUACGUGUAAGCAAAACAAUCUAAACAGUAGGAUAAAAUCAUGUUGGAAUGGAGUUCUGUGUGGAUGCUCCUUUGAACCAAAUCAGUUCCACAACUGACCCUGUCAGGGACAUAUAAAUUUAGCAUUUUGGUGUGGAUACAGAAGACGAGAUUAACACAGAUCAAGUAACAUGGAAAUAAAAAAGGAGACAAUGCUGGAUGAUACAGGGGCAGCCAACAAGAGGAGAAAACCCAAGCAUUGGCAAAUGCCUCAUUAUCCAAAGAACACUGAGGUGUGGAGCAAAACUGUGUUGAAUGAACUGUAGAUGGAAAUUCUCUCCUUCCCACCGAGGAGCCGCUGCAGGUUGCAGACUCCCAGAAUGCCACACUGAGAAGAGGAGGGCUAAAAUUCUAGAGCAGAAUCCCUGGGGCAGCCCCUGCUGAAGAAGGGUGCAUCUGUUGAGAAUCUCAUCACCGCCCCCACCCCGCCCAGCCUUCAAUUUAGAGGAAUUUCUAGUUCACGCAGAAUGAAGACAAGAUCACAUAAGUGAGGACGACGCCCCAUUUACAAGUGUGAUUUGGAAGACUGAAGUGGAAACCUUGGGAAGGGGCCUCAGAGUAUGUCAGCUGGGGUCAGACGGGAACAGGAGUCUGGCUCAACACACAUUUAUUGCACUCCUGUUUCAUGCCAAGAAAUGUACCAAAAUCUGGGACUGUGUAACACAGCAAAGGAAAAGACUCAUCUCCAGGAAGCCCCCUUGUCUAGGAAGAGAAAUUGAAUAUCAGCAUAAGGUGGUGAAAAGCUGUGAAGGAGAUGAGUGCCAGGAGUCCAUGGAGGAAGGAUUCUAGCCUGGACAGGUGAUUGUGGUGAAUAGUCAUGAGAAUCUGGGAACUGGCUCCUGCUCUGUCUAUCUUGGAGAUGCAUCUUUUGUGAGAAGCCAGGGCAAGAAUAGGGAGGCUUAGGCAAUGGGAAGUUUCUGAGUAGAUAAAGCAGAUGGCAGAGCAAAGGGACAGAGCCUGGCGAGAGGCUACUCCCUGUAGCAACCUGCCUAAGAGUGAGAGGAAAGCAAGGCAUGGCUAUGAGCACGUGUAGUCUCAGCUACUUGGGAAGCUGAGGCUGGGGGAUCACUUGAGCCCAGGAGUUCAAGACCAGCCUAGGCAACAUAGUGAGACCAUGUCUCUUUAAAAAAAAAAAAAAAAAGAAAAAGGGAGAGAGAGAAAAAAAGGUGACAAUUCCCCCAACACACAUAAAGUACAUAAGAGUUAACAAGGACACAGUGGCAGAAAAUAGUCAGAACUGAGCAAGCAUCAGUGAGGAAAUGUUUUCCUGAGGAGACUUGAGAAGUCUCAAAAAUGAAAAGAAAGAGUAUUUGGUGUAGAAAGAAUGGCAUGAGAUGUGAAAGCUCAUUCAUCCAUUUAUUCCAGGUAUAUCUUUUUCUUCAGUACUUUGGGAGGCAAUAGGUGUAAUAGCAAGAACAUUCAGGUUAGUGGGUUAGUGUGAGUCUGCCAUAUGUAUGAGGGUUGAAUACACAUUAGGUGUGGUGACUGUCAUAUGGGAGGCACUGCAAGGUGAAGGAGACAUGUCCUCACAUUUGGUCUUUGGGAAGCGAAGCAGGCAGAAACCCAAGUGCAAAGUGGCCAUUUGUUUUCCUAAUGCUAGAUAAGUACCUGAUGUGUUGGAAGGGUGGAGUAGAACUAGAAACUCCUGGAAGUUCUUUUAAGAACGAAUGCAGGACCUCAUCAGCCCGAGUCUUUAAAUAAGUCACACAUUUUUGGUCACCACAUUCUGGAAGGGGGACAAAAAGAUCUGUCACAGACAAAAUUUGGAGAUAUUUAAGGCUUUGUUGACUUUGGCAAAUGCUUGAUUAUAGUUCUGUGGUCUGUUUGUUUUCUAGAGUCUCCAUGAAUUGCAAGGGAAAACAAGUGGUACACUGGUAUUUCUAUUUGAUAACCUGUUCUCUUUGGAAUUCCGGUUAGAAAUCAAAGGCUUACUUGAGUUUUAAUGCUUUCGGGACUUCAAAUGCUUUUCUAUCUUCCUAAUAAUAUAUUAACAUUUUCUGAAGACAACAUAUAUGUGGAAAACAACAUUAUUUACUCAAAUAAUUUUUUUUGAAAAAUGGACCAAAAAAAAAGAAAAACCAACAAAAA